rnacentral:rRNA from 1 species
GAUGAACGCUGCGGCGUGCCUAAUACAUGCAAGUCGAGCGAAUGGAUUAAGAGCUUGCUCUUAUGAAGUUAGCGGCGGACGGGCGAGUAACACGUGGGUAACCUGCCCAUAAGACUGGGAUAACUCCGGGAAACCGGGGCUAAUACCGGAUAACAUUUUGAACCGCAUGGUUCGAAAUUGAAAGGCGGCUUCGGCUGUCACUUAUGGAUGGACCCGCGUCGCAUUAGCUAGUUGGUGAGGUAACGGCUCACCAAGGCAACGAUGCGUAGCCGACCUGAGAGGGUGGUCGGCCACACUGGGACUGGGACACGGCCCAGACUCCUACGGGAGGCAGCAGUAGGGAAUCUUCCGCAAUGGACGAAAGUCUGACGGAGCAACGCCGCGUGAGUGAUGAAGGCUUUCGGGUCGUAAAACUCUGUUGUUAGGGAAGAACAAGUGCUAGUUGAAUAAGCUAGCACCUUGACGGUACCUAACCAGAAAGCCACGGCUAACUACGUGCCAGCCGCCGCAGUAA